rnacentral:piRNA from 1 species
UAGAAUCAGGAACCAGGGCUGAAAUGCAGA